CUCCAGUCGAAAUCUUGAUGUGGGUCCGGCUCCCACAUACAAAGAUCUACAUUCUCGAAGUCGCACUUCGUCGGCGGGGGUACGGUCGAGUCUUCCCGUGAAAUAUGUUGCAUUAACGCACACGAGAGUCGUAAUACGUACUUGCGCCAUCGAUUGACAAGGCGGGAAAUAAUUAAACGAAGAUAAAAAUACCGUGCGUAAUACCUCGACAAGAAGGAGUCGUUCCAUUCCAAUUGCGGCCGUCACAGUAUAUCUCAACUGAGCCAACUAAACUGUAACCAGGUUCGCAAAAGAACAUCAAUAUCCCGCCGUCCAAUUUUGAGGCCACGAAUGUGUGAGGCGGUGUCGGCGGUGGAGUGCAUCUCGUGCCUAAACAAAGUUCAUUGACUCUACUUACUCACGCACACGGGAACAGGUGUGUCCCAUUUGCCAUGUAUACAUGAGGCGUAUCUGUUGCCCACGAGGAUGUAUCCAUCAAAACAGUCGAACCUCAUAAUCCGACCUCUCGCCCUAAUACGCAC